rnacentral:tRNA from 1 species
GCACUCGUAGCUCAAUUGGAUAGAGCAUCGGUCUUCGGAACCGAGGGUUGGUGGUUCGAGCCCACUCGAGUGCA